ACAGGAUAUGCCUGAUGAAUAUUUGCUUGCAACAGUCAUCUUGGAGUUGGGGAAUCUGCUGCUACAUUCAACAAUGGUCGCAGUGGCAGACCUUUUCAUCUGACCUUGUGCUGCCUCAUCACAACUACCAACAAACACUAAUUCAUGGUCAAGAGCCGGAGGAUGCACGGGGCUUCAAAAAAAUUAGGUGAUUGGGUCAUUAAUAAGCUUAAUGGCUUGUUAACAAUUCCAAAUGGCAGGCUGGCUGCCUGUUUCCAUGCCUGGUCACCCUGUUAUGUUGCCAAACGCAUGUCAUUAUACUCUAUUUUACAUUUGCAUUGUCUCAAUCUGACAAUCGGUGCUGGAUGAUCAGAAAUGUCCUCUAAUUAUAUACUGUGAAGAUUGAAGCCAUCGUUUCAGUUCCCCUGUGAACACUGUCCCCUAGCUACCAACUCUGUCCCUUUCCCUGACAACAGUUUGAGAUUAAGGCAGUGUUCACAAGCCUGGUGUCACACUCGCUUGUGGUGAACUUCUGACCUCAAUUUUGCACCGUCAUCAACUCUGCUUAUUUCCACCUUGGGAAUAUUAUUCUGUCUCAGCACACGUGUUGCUGAAACCUAAUUCAUGCCUUUGUUACCUCCUGACUUGCCUAAUCCAAUGCACACCUGGCUGUCCCCCACACUGUAUCCCCCAGAAAAUUGAGAUCAUCCAAUACUCUGCUGCCAGUGUCUUAACUCAUGCUAAAUCCUGUUGUCCCAUCUCCCAUUCUCCAUGAUUUACAUUGACUACCAGUCAAGCAUCAUCCUGAUUUUAAAAUUCUCCUUGUCAUUUUCAAAUCCCUCCACAACAUUGUUCCUUGACAUUUCUGACAAAUCCCCCAACCUCUCAACCCUCUGAGCUCCUCUAAUCCUGGCCUCGUAUGCAUCCCCAAUUUUAAUCGCUCCUCCAUUUGUAGCUAUACUUUCAGUUGCCAAGGGCUGCAACUAUAGACUUCCCAUGUUGUCCUUCUCCACUAGUUUUCCUCCUUUAAGACAGUUCCCAAAAUCUACUUUCUUGACCAAACAUUUGGUUAUCUGACCUAAAAUCACCUUUUAUGGCAUGGUAUCAAAUCUU